rnacentral:rRNA from 1 species
GACGAACCGUGCGAACGUUAUUCGGAAUCACUGGGCUUAAAGCGCGUGUAGGCGGAUGGGUGCGUCGGCUUCUGAAAGCCCCCGGCUCAACCGGGGAAGUGGGGCCGAAACGACCCGUCUGGAGGGACGUAGGGGGAUCUGGAACUUCCGGUGGAGCGGUGAAAUGCGUAGAGAUCGGAAAGAACACCAACGGCGAAAGCACUCUGCUGGGCCGACACUGACACUGAGAGACGAAAGCUAGGGGAGCGAAUGGG